AAGGAUAUGCUGCUACAAUUAGACUCUGCGUAUCUAUGAAUAUGUUGCUUCCAAAUCUGCAUUUAUCUCUCUGCAAUAUGCUCAUUUUCUAUAUAGUUUUAAAGUUUACAUCUCAUGUAUAUUUAUUGUAUACCUCUCAUGUGUUUUUUCCUGGAUUUUACUUUAGGAUGUGUGUGCUAAUGUGUAGAGAUUGAACGGAAUCUGCUUAGACUAUUUAUUGGGUUCGGCACUAAUAAAUCAUAAAUCAUGGUAUGAGACUAUGGGUAUACUUUUAUAGUUUACUUAAUUUUCUACCCCCAUUGAUAUAGCAUAUCCUCUUUGUAUUAUCUCACAGGAUUCUUUACUAGCAGUUAAAAUAUCCUAUACAAUCUGGAAAAGAGAUAGCUUAAAUGGAUGCAUGUUUUCUCAAAUUAGGUUUGCCCCUACUGUGUUUAUUAAUGCGAUGCUUCCUUCCAUGACUAAACAAGCUGAUGUUUGGUGAAUCCUUUAUAGUCUUGCAUUGUGAAAUUAGUUCGUGUGUCUUGCUAUGGUCAAUUCCUAUGUAUGUAUUGUUUUGUUUCUGUGGUUUUAACUUAUGUACGCCAAUGCAGUGAGAGCUCGGUGUCGUAUCCGCUGGCUGAGUGGCAAGCUGGAGCUGCAGGUCGCUGAACAUGGUGGUCCUACUGUGAGGAUCUCGUGUAUCAUUCUGUGUGUGUAUCUCUCAGUCCCGUUCCCCUUUAUGGUCAUCAUUCAUGCCUGUAGGGAUCACUAAGAUUUUUCUUGGUUUUGUUGUUGUCGAUUGCUGUGAUUGUUACUGCAAUAGUGGAUCAUAUAUAUACACUUGGCAACUCAGUUUAGGAUAUCGCUUGGUGGCCAGAAGGAGGCGAGCGACAGCCCCACCGUUGAACCACUCGUUGAUGACGCCGGCGGCGACGACCGGAUCCUGGGCGUCCCCUCCCCUUCCCGUCAGAUCCGUCAAGGUCCAGUGGACGGCAGGGACCAUCUCCGGUAGCCGGUAGGUCCUCUCUCCAGCUCACCUUCCCCCACCGCCCCUUCAUGGCACUGCUGCUUUGUCUUGCUGGACCUGCGUGCUCGUUCGUCGCCUGACCGCGUCAUGGCGGUGCUGCUUUCUCUUACCGAAAAAGGCUUCCGCCCCGCUUUAUAUAUAAAGCAAAGAUCCACAGUGCCCGAUACAACCGCACUCACCCACCACAAACACACACACGCACCCAAGGCAGGAUACAUAGGCGCUGAGCGCAGCAACACACACCCUAGCACUACAUGAGCCGCCGGGCGCUUCAUCCGAAGAAGGGAAGCCGCAUAUGACGAACCGUGGGCUCCAAAGCGGUGCCUUCAGGAAGGAUACGGCACCGGAGCGUCGCCACUGCCCGAUCCGAGGAUCAGAGUUUCCCUUGGAGCACCACGACGGGCAGUGAUAGCCGCGACGACGCCUUCAAGAAGGGAGCGAUCUUCGCCGUCGCCAGUCCGUCCGAAGAUAGAGAGGUUUUCACCCCGGCCAACAUUCACCGCCACCGAACGCCACACCCCGGCUACCACGCCGCCCACACGGCCGUAGUAGCCGGGCAGCACCGAGGCACGAGCUCUGCCCAAGAGCACCGCGCCACCACCACCAGGGCCGCCGCCCCGGAAUCCAAGACCUUGACACCGAGUCCCCCGAGCCCCACCGCAGAGACGGGCGGAAAGGAUCUGCCUUUCACACCCCUGGCCGGUCCCAACGCCGAGACCCAAUAGGCCGGCCACAACAAGCCUCCAUCGAGCCGUCCUGCUACACCGGGCGCGAGACGAGCGCAGUCCUGCCGCCGGACGCGAGACGGGCCGGUCCUGCUGCCGGGCGCGAGACGAGCGCAGUCCUGCUGCCGGGCGCGAGACGAGCCGUUCCUGCUGCCGGGCGCGAGACCAGCUCGGUCCUACGUCACCGGGUGCGAGACGGAUGAUGGACCGCAGCCGGGAGAAGGCCAGCCCUUCGGUGAGAGAAGCGAACGGACGCCAAGGAGAGGGGUCGAAGGCCGAUACAGGCAGCCUACAGACGGACCGACGCCAGGAAGAUCUGGGAUCUGGCCGCCGCCGCAAUCAACCUGCCACCACCACCGGCAGCAGCUAGUGCGCCGCCGUGGCCCACGGACAUGGCCACGACCACAUCCGGUCGCAGCCCGCCCCGCGCCGCCCUUCGCCCCCACGCCCGCCAGACCAGAAUGGUGCUGGACGGGGCCGCCGCCGCCAAGCACGCACCACCGCCCCCGCUGCCACGGACGACCACCGCCGGACCCCACGGCGCCGUCCGCAGUCCUCGCAGCCCGCGUCGCGACGCGGCUAUAUCUGGCGGAGCUGCGUUGACCCGCACCAUCCGCCACCACCGGCCGCCCAGCACGCUCCGCCACCACGACGCCCGUCGCGCAGCCAGCAAGAGGUCGUCGCCGCACAGCUCCGGCUCCCCGCCACGCCGCAGCGCCCGCCGCCAGCGCCGCACCCCAGCCCGGCCGCCCCGUCCCGCAUCAGGGCCCCGCGCGAGAGGACGAGAUCUCCCCGCCGGCACCAGCCGCGCUUCGCCCGGCUGCGCCCCCUGGCGGCGGCGAGGGAGGGAGGAGAGGAGGGGGAGCCCCGGCUGCGGUGACUAGGGUUCCCUCCUGGCCGCCCGCGGGGGGGACGCAGGAGGGUCGCGUAUCCUCCUUGAGACAACAGCUCCCAUGCCGUCAGCGGCCCCGUGUGUGUCGUGCUCGUGGACAGCUCUUGCGUGCGUCCUGAUCGUGGCCGGCGCUUGCUGCUAUUUUUGCUGUGUGCCGUGUGUUGCUACUGCUGCUGCUUGCCGGCCGUUGCGCACGUCCUACUUGUGGCCGGCCUUGCUGCUCAUGGCCUACAAUUUCUGCUAUUGUUGUUUUGUGCCUUACUGCUCCUGCUGUUGUUUGUUAUGCUCCCACUGAAUUAUAUAUUUUUUGUGCAGAUGACGGAGCCGCCACCCUCCCGAGGCUCCCUUUGUCUAUAUAAUGACUCUGACAUUGUGUGUCUAUGAUGUGAUGACUUAUCCUGUUGGUUUACUUUUGCCAAAAAUGCUACUUUGCUUUUUGUAUGAUUGAUUGCGUUGCCCUUUGGCAUUGCUUGGAGGGAUGUUAUGUAUUGGGCACAAAUUAUGUUAUAUAUAAAGGCAAUGCUGUACUUUUGAUGUAAUUUCAAUACAUUUAACUGAUCCACUACUGUCGCAACAAUAGAUAUGUUGUUUAUACGUCCGGGCAAUGUGUUGAGCCAUACGUCUGACAAAG
rnacentral:lncRNA from 1 species